CACACACACACACACACACACACACACACACACACACACACGUACACAGUGUAAACAACACAGUUCACGACCUACACACCAUCCACUCGCAUCCACUACAUACUAUGCAAGAUACACGAAACAGAGUGACCCCUGUUCUAUCAGUAUUAACCAUGAAAUAUGACAACAGCUAUUCAUACACGCAAGAUUUACUACAGCCAAUCAGAUGUCACACGAGCCUAAGAACGCGAGCCGCUGAAUGAAACCAAGGCGCAAGGAUUGUUUCAGUCUCUUUGACAACCAUCAUCAGAGCCAGCCACUUGCUGUUGAAACCGUACCAUCAUCGUUAUCAACCGUUAACAACAUCAACGUCUUUGAGCAUCACCGGACAGUACAUCAACAACAGACAGAACAUCAACAAGAGCCACAUGACAGCCACGUCGGCUAACCCCUCGAGAACCACCAGAGGCAUCAACUUUUCACCAUCAUCAUAGUCACCAUCGUAUUCAUCACACAUCACCAUCUUCAGGAGCGACGGUGAGGAAUAACUGUGCUUUAACUCUUGUCCUCUCAUCUCCUGCACUGUGUGAAUGGAUUAGCCACAGAAAUGUCACCAAUGCCCAACAAGAAUAACGGUUGCCCCGAACGUUCAUUUCUGCUAACAGGCUAAACCCCCCGAGAACUGCCAGGCACCAUUCACCAUUCACCGCUGUGUCUAAGUGUACUCACCGGAUUCAUCCCCUUGAGCACAUCAUCAGGAGCAACGGUCAGGUUUUUGGAAGGAUAGAAACCAAAGAAGACGACUGGGCCAGGACUUCACCUGGUCAAGGACACUGAUGGCGAGCCUUUCCCAGAGCCUUUCCCAGAGCGACCACAUAUACCCUUAAGUACCCUAACAAGGAACUUUUCCCCCCCUUUUCCACUUUUUUACCAUUUUUAUUUUGUUUAAGGCCACGUGGACCCUUGUUUAUUUUAAGUGUGCACACUGUUUUAUUUUAUUUGGGUUUUUAUACACUUCUGACAAAUUUGUAAACAAUAUACGAGCUUUUUUCACUCAAAAGGA